CAGGAUGACUGAACUGAGGAGGAAAGCACAGUCUGUGCCUCCACAUUAUCAGGAAGACGGCCAAAGGACACUUCCCACCCACGAAAGCAAGAGGGAUGAACUGGGAGUAGUCUGCAUGGCAUUCUCUGACUGAAUCCUGCCUCCAUUCUGCCUCCAAGGCCCAGAAAAGUUCUGCUACUGACUCCAAGGAGGAACAACAAUUUCUGGCUUCCGCUGUUUCCCUCUGCUUCUGCUUUGCAAUUCCUCUUGUAUCCUCCUCUGGCCCACAUCUUGUGGCUGCUACUGUAUCUCCAAGUGUGCUCCUGCCUCAGUCUUCUUCCUGCCACUCUCCCUGCUCCCCUCAGGGUUACUUGUCUAUAAUGAACAGAGGAAUAGCAUGAAAAGAAAAAUUCAGGAUAAAAACUUGGCAAAGCUUGCUGGCAAAGAUAACUUAGCUUGUAAAAAGACUUUCAGGGUGAUGGAAUAACCCCAAAGUCUACAAUUAAACUAAUAAAUAAGGACU